GGUGCCGUGGGAAUUCAGGACUGUUACCUUGAAAAAUUAGAGUGUUUAAAGCAGGCGCACGCUUGAAUACAUUAGCAUGGAAUAAUGAAUAGGACGUUUGAUUCUAUUUUGUUAGGUUUCUAGGAUCGACGUAAUGAUUAAUAGGGAUAGUUGGGGGCAUUAGUAUUCAAUUGUCAGAGGUGAGAUUCUUGGAUUUAUUGAAGACUAACUACUGCGAAAGCAUUUGCCAAGGAUGUUUUCAUUAAUCAAGAACGAAAGUUAGGGGAUCGAAGACGAUCAGAUACCGUCGUAGUCUUAACCAUAAACUAUGCCGACUAGGGAUCGGAUGAUGUUAAUUUUUUUAAUGACUCAUUCGGCGCCUUACG
rnacentral:rRNA from 1 species